CGCCCCCCACCGGUAAAGUUUCCGUACCACCCGAGCGUUCCUCACCCCGAGCCCUCCUCCUGACCCCAUGACACCCAUCGACCAAUCUAUUCUGUGCUACCACCUCUCUUCGACUCCAGUGCUUCCACCUCCCCUCGAUCUCCUUCAAGCCCAGCGCCACCACCUCCCCUCGGCCCUCUCCUCCUGGUCCUGCCGUCGGGACCGAUGACGCCACAUCAGUCGCAAGAAACGACAACGCCAACCGGCACCGACGCGAUGCCACAUCAGUCGCUAGAAACGACCAUACCAACCUCCGCCGAUGAGGCGCCGACGAGGAUGGACAGUUGAAGCUGCCUACGAGGAGCAACAAGGUCCGUCUGUGGAUUUCCAAUCGAUCUAUUCCUCCUCCAUCAACCUCGUCCCGCGGAUCUUGAGUUAUGGCUCGUCUUCCCUUAAGUGCGAGGCGUGGAAGGAGAAACACAACAUUUUUGAAUUUGACUACUUCCAUUAUGUUUGUAUACUAUUAUGUUUGGUUCAUGUUUGCGUUAGCUUAUAGGAGAAAAUGUUGGCAAAUAGAAAGGAGAAUUAUAAUUAGAGAGUUAAGGGGAGAGAACUUGUACCGGCUAAUUGGUGAGAGCGACGAUAUGUGUAUAAGUCAACUUUGUAUGGAUAGGAGAACAUUUCAUAUAUUAUGUGAGAAGGAGAAUUAUAUUAUGUUCUAAAGGGUAAAAGGAACACAUCAUUAGAGAAGAUAGUGGCAUCAUUCUUAUAUAUAUCAUCACACCAUUUUAAAAAUAGGACAGUAGGAAGAUUCUUCUAUCGAAGCCCGGAGUUGGUUAUUAGAAACUCCAAUGCUUGUCUUCUAGCUGUCCUGAAACUGCACCAUCUGCUACUUAAGAAACGGGAACCUAUACCAGAGGAUUGAACCGAUGAUAAAUUGAACUAUUUCAAGAAUUGCCUUGGAGCGUUAGAUGGCACACCCAUAGGCUUAACUGUCCCGGCUAAUCUGAAAGGAAGAUAUAGAUCAAGAUAUGGAUCACUUGGACAGCUCAAGCAUGUCGCGUGGAAGAGGCUGGCACAAAAGGAAUUGGACUUCCGAUGAGGAUGGUGAGCUUAUUAAAGCUUUGUAUGAGUUGUCUUUGGAUCCGAGGUGGAAAGCUGAUGGUGCCUUCAAGGGUGGAUACUUGGCGAUAUUGGAAAAGCAUCUUGCUGAGAAGUGCCCAGGUCGUGGUAUCACUUGAGUUCCACACAUUGAAUCAAGAGUGAGGCACUCUUGGAAGAAAUUUUGUGCUCUUGAAGUAAUGAUACCCAAAAGUGGUUUGACAUGGGAUGGAAAUAGGAAGAUGAUUCAAUGCGAGAAGGCACAAUAUGAAGAACAUUAAUCAGAAGGAGGCUAAGGGAUUGUAUAGUGCAUCAUUUCCAUACUUUGAGCAAUUGGCUGCUCCUAUGGCAAGGACAUCGCAACAGGGGAAAAUGCUGAAGGCUAUUAGGAAACUUGGAGAAGGAAAUUUCUAUGAAGGAAGAAGAAAAUGAGGAAGAGGAUAUGAUCUCAAUAGAGACAGCUAGACAGACCAUUGACACUUGCUCUAUUGAUACAAGUAGUUCCAAGAGGCAAAAGAAGGAGCCAAGGACAAAGAGGGCGGCGGGACCAAGCGAUCCUUUUGUAUCCAUGCUUCAAGAUGUCAACAACCAACUAAACAGCGUGAGACAACAUGUUGGUAUAAUGGCAACACCAGUCUCAGCAGCAAUGGCGCGAGAAACAACCCAAGAGGACCCUCAACAGAAAUUAAGAGAAAAGGCAAUUAGUGAAUUGUCUAGGCUUGCAUUCACUGGGAGCGAGAUUGUUGAAGCUGCAACUAUAUUUGCUAAAGCUCCAGAACACAUGAACAUGAUGCUUGAGUUUCCAGAAAUCCUUAGGAGGGACUUUGUCCUCAAAAUGCUAUCUGGUAUCAUUGUUUCUAAACUCUUUUUAUGUUUAUCUUUGAUAAUAGGUUCCAGCACAUGAAACCUCAACAUGAUUGUUAGCUUUGAUAAUAUGUACUAUCUUGUGAUAUAUUUCUAAAUACAAAUGCUCACAUGUCCUGAUUCUUGAAUCAAAAUUUGAUAUAUACAUGCAUAUUGUUGCUAACAUUUGCCCAUGUUCACCCUCUUUAAUCUAUACUAUCUUGUGAUGAAAAUUUCAUGCUUUUCAUGCAUUUGAUAAAGUAUUUUUCCUUAUAUCUAAUUAUUGCCCGCUCAUUGACAUAUGAAAUAAACAAGCAAGGUUGAAUGGACAGGAAGGCUUUUUUAUAACAGUGGUGCGACAUGAUUGGUGUGUACAAAACUCUCCUCCUUUUCCUCCUGUUGUCUUGUCAAAGUGUUGAAAUGCAUAGAGCAAGAAUGUCUUGUCAAAGUGUUGAAAUGCACAGAGCAAAUUCAUCUUGUUGUUAUUUUCAUUUUGGACUCUGUAUAUAACAUGACAUAAUUUUAAUUCACACAGCAAAUCAUCUUGCUGUUAUGUUCCA